GAUGAACGCUGGCGGCGUGCCUAAUACAUGCAAGUCGAGCGAACGUACGAUAAGCUUUCUUCUCUGAUGUUAUCGGCUGACGGGUGAGUAACACGUGGAUAAACUCCCUAGUAGACUGGGAUACAUUCGGGGAUCGGUAGCUGAUACCGGAUAUUAUUUUGAAUCGCAUGGUUCAAAAGUGUGAUACGGUCAUCAUGGAACUAUUACAUAGAUAUGCUCUCCAGUAGCUAGUUGGUAAGGUUACGGCUUACCCAGGCAACGAUGCAUAGCCGACCUGAGAGGGUGAUCAGCCGCACUGGAGCUGAGACACGGUCCAGACUCCUACGGGAGGCAGCAGUAGGGAAUCUUCCGGAAUGAGCGGAAGCCUAACGUAGAAAAGCCGCGUGAGUGAUGAAGAUCUACGGAUCGUGAAGCACUGUUGUUAGCGAAGAACAUAUGUGUGAGUAAAUUGGCGAAUAUUGACGGUACCUAAGCAGAAAGCCACGGCUAACUACGUG
rnacentral:rRNA from 1 species